rnacentral:rRNA from 1 species
CCCUAUGGGGCUUUCCGACGGCCUUGAAAGACUUUUCCGUCCAUUCCAGCGAUUCGGCUUCCCGGCGCAUGAAAUGGCGAUGAUGAUGACCAUCGCGCUCAGGUUCAUCCCGACCCUUUUCGAUGAAACGGACCGCAUCCUUCGUGCGCAGCUUGCAAGGGGUGCCGACCUUGAUCAUGGCGGCAUCUUGCGACGCAUGAAGGCUUUUAUCCCGGUUCUCGUUCCUCUUUUCGUCAUAGUCUUCCAGAGAGCGGAGGACCUGGCCCAGGCCAUGGAGGCACGUUGCUACAGGGGGGGAACGGGCAGGAGCCGCAUGAAUCCCCUAAGAUGGAAAAGGGCCGACACCUUUGCAAUGGCCGGAACUCUUGCCAUUGUUGCGGUUUUCGUCCUGAUGGACUUGGGAGC